rnacentral:rRNA from 1 species
AGUCAACAUGCCCAGAGGACGUGGAUAACCUCGGGAAACUGAGGAUAAACCGCGAUAGGUCAUAAUAUCUGGAAUGAUUUAUGGUUUAAAUCUAUAUGGCCUCUGGAUUGGACUGCGGCCGAUCAGGCUGUUGGUGAGGUAAUGGCCCACCAAACCUAAAACCGGUACGGGCUCUGAGAGGAGAAGCCCGGAGAUGGGCACUGAGACAAGGGCCCAGGCCCUAUGGGGCGCAGCAGGCGCGAAAACUCUGCAAUAAGCGAAAGCUUGACAGGGUUAUUCUGAGUGAUUUCCGCUAAGGAAAUCUUUUGGCACCUCUAAAAAUGGUGCAGAAUAAGGGGUGGGCAAGCCUGGUGUCAGCCGCCGCGGUAAUACCAGCACCCCGAGUGGUCGGGACGAUUAUUGGGCCUAAAGCAUCCGUAGCCGGUUCUACAAGUCUUCCGUUAAAUCCACCUGCUUAACAGAUGGGCUGCGGAGGAUACUAUGGAGCUAGGAGGCGGGAGAGGCAAGCGGUACUUAGUGGGUAGGGGUAAAAUCCGUUGAUCCAUUGAAGACCACCAGUGGCGAAGGCGGCUUGCCAGAACGCACUCCACGGUGAGGGAUGAAAGCUGGGGGAGCAAAC